GGAAUUUUGGACAAUGGGGGAAACCCUGAUCCAGCCAUCCCGCGUGUGCGAUGAAGGCCUUCGGGUUGUAAAGCACUUUUGGCAGGAAAGAAACGUCGCGGGUUAAUACCUCGCGAAACUGACGGUACCUGCAGAAUAAGCACCGGCUAACUACGUGCCAGCAGCCGCGGUAAUACGUAGGGUGCAAGCGGUAAUCGGAAUUACUGGGCGUAAAGCGUGCGCAGGCGGUUCGGAAAGAAAGAUGUGAAAUCCCAGAGCUUAACUUUGGAACUGCAUUUUUAACUACCGGGCUAGAGUGUGUCAGAGGGAGGUGGAAUUCCGCGUGUAGCAGUGAAAUGCGUAGAUAUGCGGAGGAACACCGAUGGCGAAGGCAGCCACCUGGGAUAACACUGACGCUCAUGCACGAAAGCGUGGGGAGCAAACAGGA
rnacentral:misc_RNA from 1 species